AAGAUGUGUCCCUUGAUGACGCAUCUUUUUUGAAGGCUCAGACAGCACCGAGAACUGUACGGCAGUGGAUUUAAAAACAAGAUUUUUCACAGUGAAAUAAGUGGCAGCCGAGCAAGGGGAUGUCAGGACAGGACUGGAGGUAGGGUAGAAGAGGUAAACUCUAGGCAACUUUGAGCACCACAAGGUCUCUUGCCAUCUCAGCGCUGAGGAAGAGGAAGCUGUCCUUUGCAGCAUCUGUUGCCUAGCAAUCUGUUUCUCAGGUGUCUUUAGCUGUACGGCAUUGUGAUCAGAGCUUCAAAGGCAAGUGGAAAGCAAAAUAAAAAUGGGCUUGAAAAACACUGCAAUCAAAGUGCAGCACUUGCUGCAACAUGACAGCGAAUAGAUGCCAGCAAAGCUUUAUGCCCUAUGUGCCAUUAUGUACAAAAGGCUUCAACCGUUUUGCUAAGUGCCUUGUGCUCUUUGGAAGAUACAAAGCAGUUGUUACCAUCUUGCAGCUCUCCACUGUAUGGUGUCACAUGACUCUGUUCAAGAUUUGAGCUAAUAUCACUCAGCCUUGGUUUCCAAGCCACUGUGGUUUUUUUUGUUUGUUUGUUUGUUUGUUUGUUGUUUUUUUUUUCACAUCACCACAGACAGUUUUAUUAACCAUCAGGUUGGAUUCUUAGCAACAGCCGAGGACCCGGAGUAGUGUGUUUCCUACAGGACAAAGCUAAUGUGGAUGAGAUGGAGUACCCUGAGAAAUUCUGUAGUUUCUCACUCAGUUGUCACUCAGAGCCACGGAGCCAGGCAUUGCUUUGCAUGUAACAGACCAUCUGUGUGACCCAUUUGAGCCAUUUCACAACACAGCAAAUAGCCCAAACUGGCCCUGGCUAAAGGGUUCACAAAAUAAAGGAGUUCAUUGGCCCAUCUUUCAGAAGCAUAACAGGAAAAUGCAGUAGAAAUACAGAUGAUUUCAACCUGCACUCAAAGUUACUGCACCACCAGAGGGUUAAGCAGAGCAGUACAGAGAUCAUUAAGUCACUGAAAACAGUAUGGGGAACAAGAGUGCUCUCCCUAAAUGUAUCAUGGAUGCUGGACUUUUUUUAUGCUGCAACUUUAUAUAUUAUUUAAACUGUUCAAUGGAGAAUAUAAAUCUUAUUGUCAGAGUAGGAAGAUGCUGGGAACUUUGUGAUACAUCCAUGACAGACACAAGAAUGGGCUCCUGGUACUGCCGCAUGGACACUGAAACCAGGGAAGCUGCUUGGGCUGAGACAUGUUCUUCCCUUGGGAGGCUCAGCUGAGACUACAUGAUUUAUUUCUGCAAAACGGAAGCCUGCCUUUUUUUGAAAAAAACUCUCCAGGCUUGAGGAAAGAUCAACUCUUCUUCAGCAAAAGACCAAAUUAUGGCCCAACUCUGUAUCUAGAGACUAAUGAAUGUGGUUAUGAUACAAAGAAAUCAUCUGCACCUUACAGCUGGAAAAUGCUUGUUUCUCAUAUACUAAAGUAUACUACAUAUACUACUACAAGUAUUUUGCACACUGAUUUCCCAACUAGGGGAAAAGCAAAAGCCACAAUAACUACUGCUGUCCACAGUGAACGUUUUUCAGUCAGGGCAGUGUCAGAGCAUUUCAUGUGAGUGCAAUCAGAAGCAAUCCAGGAAUUCAAAAGACCAGGAAACAAACAGCUGAGGACAAGGAGAGUGUGGUCUGCCUGAAAUCUAGCUGCUGUCAGGAACUGAAGGAAAACUGACGACAUGAAGAAAGUGUGAAGGAAAUGACCAACAAUUCUAUUCUCGUACUCCAUCACCAAUUUGUAAGAAGGAACAUAAUGAAAGUAAUGCUUGAAAUUAAAGACAUAUGAGACACAUUCCCAAUAUUUUCUGAAGUAUGUCCUGGUUUUAAUUAAAAUGUAAAGUGUACAUACUGAAGGACUUGCUUUUCUGCCAGGAGCAGCUGCCUUGUGCAACCUUUCCUACCGUGGACAUCAAAUGUCAACUGAAAAAAAUGUUUUGUUCUUGUAUUGAAACUCAUACAGUUGGAAACUUUAUUGCAAUUGGAAACAUAAUGUAGAAGUAGAGGGCAAUAUUAUGUUUCAUGUAUAAUUAGUUUGCAAAAAAAAAGACAUAACCAAGGGACACGUUUUUGGUAGAAUAACUUCACACAAUAGAUGCAGAAUAAUGGAUCACAUUGAUGGAUCCUUCUUGCUAAACUCCAUGACAAAGUAAAUGAACAUUUGUAUAAAAAUGCUAUAAUAGUUGAAGCUUGAAUUAGAGAGUCUGUAACCUUUGUUUGUGAUCAUAAAUUACAGAGAAAUCCUGCAAGCAAAAUAAAUGCAACACUAAUUAAAAAAAAAAUACAGCAACAACAAAAACCAACAAAACCAACACCAUUAAAAGCCAACAGAUACAACCCAUCAAAUAGUGAAAACAUUAUAUUGUGUACCUAACAUUAAUCACUUAGGAUGCUAUAGUACAAGUUGUUUCCAACAAUUUCUGUAGUUAUCUCACAGGUUAAAUGGACACUUACAUGUGGAGUUUGGUCAUAUAAAAUACAAAGGUAUAAAAAAUGGUUUCAAAUACUAAAGCUGACUAAAGUCAGUGUUUCUUUCGUUCUCAAGCUACAAAGUUUUUUUCCACUGUUUCUGGGUGAAGGGCUAAUAGUAGGGGCAAGCCAGUGAAUCUGGCAGGUCAUAAUAGUUUUUCCAAUGAAUAACUUGGGGCAAAAAAACAUUCUACUCUUCCAGAUCCAGUAACCUCAGUUGUAACUUCUAGCAGCUGUGCACCAGUAGGUUACAGUAGGUUACAAAAGGGAUCUAAAUUUUAAUCACUUAUCUCUUAGAUGCUAAAAUAGUGGUAUGUCAUUCUCAGAUGUGGAACUGGCACAAAAAACACUGAACAUCUGAGAGAUGUCAUGUGCAGUAUGAGCCUUUUUGUGUGUGUCUAACCCCGGCUCAAGAGGGAUCUCAGUAUUGGGAAGUCAAACUCUGCAAGCAAUGAGUGCCUCCUGCCCGUGUGUGUUCGGUUAGCCCUUUCAUUUUCUGUCUGGAUGAAAAAAAAAAAAGAACACACAGGUAAUUUGGAGCUUGCAGAGGGGAAGGAAGGAAGGAGGAGGAAGCCUGGACUUGAAUAUUUGCAGGUUUCACUGAAGCUAGUGAGAGACAGAAGCAAAAACCUGUGGGAAAAAACUAAAGCAACAGAAACUCAAAUAUUUUUUCCUCAAGAAAGCAGAACUUCUGACUUACCUAAGAAUCUAUUUUAGUUCUUGUAUUAAAAUUUCGCAAUGGUUUGUGGUUCAUUACUUUUUUUCCUUCGUUGACUCCACAAACACUUCACUCUCCAUGAUGAAAAUGAAGAAACUUUCAGAUAUUUAUGACAUGCCAAAGAUAGAAGGUGCUGUCUUGCCCAUGAGUGUUUGAUAAUUAUGAAGAGGCAUAGGCUGGGGUACCAAGAGCAGUGUGCUUACAGUACCUUAAAGCAACCUGAUGUAAAGGUCAAUGCUGUACUCUUUGCAGUAUUCAGACAGUAACAUUCCCUGGAGUUACUGAUGCUCUGAACAGCAUUGUUGGCCAGUCACUUAAACAUUCAUCUCCUAUGUGCAUAAGAAACUGCACUCCCUGCUUCCCAAUUCCUCUUUAAUGCAACACUGCAGGAAGUUAGAGUCUGGUGUCAGCACACAGCAGCACACAGGUUUGGGAAAAAAAUACAAACUUUGCAGAUUUGUUUCUUGGGUCAACAGCUCUUAAUAUUUAGCAAUCUAGAAAUAAACAACUAAUUUACUUUCUAUCCAGUUUUCAACAAUAACAAGAUAAAUGAUAGAUGGACAUAAGUUUUUGGAAGAUGAAUUCAAAUAUAAUUGUAAUGACAGCAAGCAACGUUUUAGAGCAGAAGCAAAUGCUAUGCAUGUUGAAGGGUGUGUGGGAUCCUUUUUCUCUUCUUUGAUUACUGAGACUUGUCCUCAAGCUAAGGUCCCUAAAAUAAGUCCCCAGGAUUAAGUGUUGUAAAUCUCUCCUUCUGCCUUUCCUUACCAUUGUUUGUAGACUUCUGUGCCUCAAAAACUGGAAUCACAAAAUCUUGUGCUUGGCUGCUAUCAGAUUGGUAUGUGUGCUUGUGCAGUAGCAUAUGUACCUGUAUGCACAGGUAGGUAGAUCAAUACAUAAAUGACUUCUCAGGAAGCAAAGAAACAAGAUCGAUGAAGAGCUACAGAGUCUACACUAAUCUGAGUAUUUUUCUGAGUUAAAACUUGGAAGUAUAGCUCAUAUUGUAGAGCUAAG